CGAUUCCUCUGCCCUGGAUAGAGAGCGGUGUCUCAUAACAGUUUGGAAACUACAAAAGUUUCCCUGGCAGGAUGAAUGAUUGACUCGGCAACAUGUUCUUGCCUUUUGGAGUUGCCCUCCAAUUUUUCCAGGCUUGAUUCUGUAAAUCAUUUCAUCUUGUAAAAAUACUGGGCUGUGAGCACGGAUGAUCUCAAAGAUGAGGAAACAGAAGCUGGGAUAUGUGAGUAAACAUUUCCAAGGUCCUGCAGCUAAUCAAUGGUUGACAACUUCUUUCCUCUGCCUAUGUUGCCAUCCAUGUCAUGGUUUGUGUCAAGACUCUAGGAGAAGUCUACCAUCAGCACCACAGCUACUGUGCACAAAUCCAGAAUGCCAGACUGAAGUCAGAAGGAAAGGUAAAAGUCCAAUUCUCAGAUGGCAAUUCAGACUUAGAAAACAGAAUGAGAAAAAGCAGUGGUGUCCAUCUCUCCUCAACGAUGAAUUCAUGUCUUAAAAUGUAUCUGCAUCUAUUUCUUUCUGUCUACCAUCCAUCCAUCCAUCUUUCCUUCUUUCUUCUUUCUCUUUCUCUUUCUCUCCCUCCUUCCUUCUCUUCCUUCGUUUUCAUAAGUAAAACUAGUACUAAUGCAGAAGUCUGAAAUUAGACUUUAAAAACGAGUACUACUCUUUUUUUCCCCCUUUUUGAGAGAGCUGGUGAUUUUCUUCCUUGCUUGGCAUUAACUGUCUUACUGUCUUAUGAUACUUAUCUUUAAUGUGGCAUAUCAGAGAACCUCUUUGAAAAUGUUACGGCUUAAUGCGGCUCAGGGAAAUAAAAGCCCACUUUAAAAAAGCCAAAAUAAAGCUUUCUGAUACGGACUUCACAAUUAAUUUUUGAGAAGGUCCACUUUCAUAUGCAAGCAAAUCUGUUUAGAAAUGUUUUAAAUUUUAAAGCAUGCAUACACAUAUAAAACUAAUUUAUGUGUUUUUAAAUGCUGUUUAAAAUUUUAAAGCAUAUAUAGAGAGCAAGAGAGCAAGAGAGGGUGCUCAAUAUGCAUCAUAAUAGCAUGAGAACUGAAAAAUAAAAGUUUACUUGCAAACUUAACCGGCUUUGCAAUGCAACAGACUAAACAAGUCACAUUUUAUACAAUGUAUAUGUUUAUAAUAUGAGUGCAGCAUGCCAAUGUGCUAUUUAGAUCAUUGUCCUGGUUGAAUGAACAAGCUCACAGGUUCACCAUUUAAUAUUUGUUCUCUUAAAAACAUGAAACUCGUUUUGAAAAUACCGGCUUAAAUGGGCAUUAUUAAGUCUUU
rnacentral:lncRNA from 1 species